UCCCGUGCCACUCAAGAAUGUGGCCAUCUUGAAUGGGACGGAGGGAGUACUUCUUUGCAGAUUCUGCAUACAAAUUUUUAUCAUUUUCUGAUUUUUGGUCUCUUUUCACCCUUUUUAAGGAUUGAAGAUCAUUGGUCCUCCAGGUCGUUUACCUUCCAACUCCAUUCCAGGAGCAAAAGUUAAUAAAAAGCUCUCCAAUACUGUCCCUGCCAAGGAUCAUGGCCGUAGUUUUGGUGUAAACAAACCUAAAUCUGCAAAGGUUGAAGGCCCAUCUUUGCUGGAUUCAAGUGGUUACAAUCCUAAAAGACAAGAAUUUGAUCCUGAAUAUGAUAAUGAUGCUGAGCAGCUGUUGGCUGAUAUGGAAUUCAACGAAACUGAUACACACGAGACGAGGAGCAUCAAUUGAAACUGAGAGUACUUCGUAUAUAUUCAAAAAGCUAACAUCUUCAGUAAAUUUGUUGAACACUUUUGGUAGCUUAAAUUUGUUGAACAAUUGUGUUAGUUAACUGAUGUAUCUAUAGCUCAUUGUCUUUUAAGAUUGCAUAGGUUCAAUCCCCUUAGGAUUAUUUUCUUGUAGUUUUGUUCAGUUCUAUUGUUUCCAUUCAAUUCUUUCCAGUUUCUAUGCGUGUUCGUCGGUCU